rnacentral:other from 1 species
UUACUCCUGCGAUGUGCGUCACGACGAUAUAUUGUUUUGAACCAAUGGCUGUUUCAACGGGAGUUCGACAUUGUACGGCGGCUGACAUGCCCCCGAAAGGGGAAGUCAAAAGCGCGGACUGAGGACACCCACCUGCGAGAGCGGGUUCAGAAACUUGCGCGUCGAACGGCAGAGCGGGUUUUUU